rnacentral:misc_RNA from 1 species
GGAUAUUUUGAGCGGUAUGGAAUACCGUGUUUAUCUGUGGAUAAAACUGAACUUACUCUGUGUUAAACACACACUGGUCGACACAUAAUCCGGGGUGCCCAGAUAUUUUGGGUCGGUAUUACGGGACUGGUGGAGGUAUAACC